CUCACUCAGGGGAACAACAUGUCCAAAUUUCAGCCCAUUCGGUUGAGGGGUUCGGGAGUUAUGGAUCUUUGAAGUUUUGACCGACCGCACAGGUUUUCUAGCCGAAAAGAGUUCCAUAAGUUUUGGCCUUGCGGUCGGUCUCCGUUCGUGCAUUAAAACCCCACGAACCUCUUGCCACCCACAGUCAUCCUGGUGUUCGCUAGAAUCCUCAUGUGAGCUUAAACAAAACUACCGAACGGCCGGUUGUUCGGUAGUUCCAGCACGAACUUACAAGCUCCUGGAGGUCUCAGCGGCGUUCGCCUGUUUGCGUAUCCGUUUUUAGUUCCAUGUGUUCACAGGCAAACACCGCCGUUCGUGCGUAAGAUGGCCGCGAACACGUGUAAAGUCCUGAAAUGGCGGCCAUCUAACCUGAGCACAAAGGAAUUCGUAUGAAACCAUGCGAACGGCUCCAAAAGCGCUGGGAGGUAAAAUACCAAUUAACUGUUCCCCUGGGUGGUCCGAUGUUCGGUAUUUUGAGCUGUAUUUUUCAGUAGGGAUAUUUCCACGAAAUAGUCAUUCGGUUUUUUGUAAUACAUCCAGCGGUAUAUAUAUAUAUAUAAGUCCAGGCAAAACACAUAGACAAAGGCAUAGUUCUGUUACACUGCUCCCCUUUUGUGGAACACUCCGGCAGACCCGGAUUGAUCCUUUUCGGGUCAACUUGGGGCUGUCCGGUCUGCGGUUAAGGUAAAAGUUCAGUUUGCCUGGACAGUCCGUCUGCGUUCCCAUUGAACCGGCCAGGGCGAUAUUGAAUGGAGAAGUUGUACGGUUGUAGGGCCAAACUCCAUCUCAGCAAUCGUCCAUUGUCCCCAGCUACUCGGUUCAGCCAUACUAGGGGGUUAUGUUCUGUGAUCAGGGUGAAUUCCUGACCGUACAGGUAUGGUGUGAGCUUCUUUAGAGCCCAGACUAGGGCUAGACACUCUUUUUCCACUGCCGCAUAGCUCACUUCCCUGGGUAAUAGUUUUCUACUCAGGUACCCGACAGGGUGUUCCCCUCCAUCUUCCCUGACCUGGCUCAGAACUGCCCCCAGUCCGUACAUGGACGCAUCUGUAUGGACGACAAAUCUUUUGUUAGGGACGGGGGCAGACAAAACCGGUGCGUUGAUCAGGGCUUGUUUCAGGGUUUGGAACGCUGUUUCGCAGGUGGGAGACCACAGGCCUACUCUAGGCAAAUUUUUCUUUGUCAAAUCUGUCAGGGGUUUAGCGAUGGCGCUGUAGUCAGGGAUAAAUUUUCUGUAGUACCCUGCUGUCCCUAGGAAUGCCAGUACUUGGGUCUUGGUGUGGGGUGUUGGCCAGUUGGCUACAGCUUCCACCUUAGCGGGUUCUGGUCGCUGUUUCCCACACCCUACCCUGUGUCCCAAGUACUGUACUUCGGCCAUUCCGAAAUUACAUUUCUCUGGUUUCAGAGUUAGGCCUGCGGCCCUAAUCUGAUCCAGCACAGACUCUACAUGUCUUAAGUGCUCUCCCCAAGUCUCACUAUAGAUCGCAAUGUCAUCCAGGUACGCGCACGCGAAUUCCUGGAAGCCAUCAAGGAGACGAUCCACUAAGCGCUGGAAUGUAGCUGGGGCGUUUUUCAUCCCGAAUGGCAUGACCUUAAACUGGUAUAAGCCAAACGAGGUGACAAACGCCGACUUAGAGAUAGCGUCCUUGGCCAGGGGAAUCUGCCAGUACCCUUUGCACAGAUCGAUGGUCAGAUAGCGUCCCCUGGCAAUGCGAUCUAAUAGUUCGUCUACUCGGGGCAUGGGGUAUGCGUCGGUCACGGUCCGGUCAUUGAGGCGUCGGUAAUCGACACAGAACCGGGUCGUUCCGUCCUUUUUGGGAACUAGGACAACUGGGGAUGCCAAGGGGCUGUCGGACGGCUCUAUAACUCCCAGUUUUAACAUCUCCUGAAUCUCUUUUCUCAUCUCCUCUUUUACGGCUUCAGGGAUUCUAUAGGGAGUCUGUCUAUGGGGUUUCCACAUAAUGUGUCGCUAAGGGUGUGUAACCGGGCUCCUGAGAAAACGUCAAUCCUUUCUCAGCUAGCAAUUGUUGGAGUUGUUCCCUUUCUGUGGGAGUUAACCGCUCCCCUAGCUGCACUGUAUUGAGCAGAGUUUUAGGCUCGGAGUCGGCUAACAGAUCUGGGAUGGGAAGACUGUCAGGGUCUUCAGUGGCCGGGAUACAUAUGGCCGCUAUAUCUUCGGGCCUUUCUUGGUACUCUUUUAAUAAAUUAACAUGAAAGGACUUCUGGAUCCUUUCGUCCUGGCUACUGGCAAUUACAUAGGUGGUGUCACAUAUCUGGGCCACUACCUUGUAAGGGCUCUGCCAGGAGGUCUCUGUAGUUUGUUUCCCUUGACAGGUCUAAGUACCAGAACUUUCUGACCUACUAGGAACGUUCUCAACCGGGCGCCCCAAUCAUACCAAUGUUUCUGACGGCCCUGGGCUGCCUGAAGAUGUUCUCGGGCCAUCCUGGCUAGGUGCCCCAUGCGGUCCCGCAUCUCCAGCACAUAACGUACGAUAGGAACCCCCUCAUGUUCUAUCUCUCCCUCCCAGUGCUCUCGGAUGAGGUUGAGGGGGCCUCACACUCCCUGUCCAUAGAGCAGCUCGAAGGGAGAGAACCCUGUGGAUUCCUGUGGCACCUCUCGAUAUGCAAACAAGAGGUGCGGCAAGAAUCGCUCCCAGUCUCUGUAUUCCGCCGUAAAGGUCCGCAGCAAUUGCUUUAGGGUACCAUUAAAGCGUUCACAGAGACCGUUAGUCUGAGGGUGGUACUGAGCAGGGUCUUGACACCACAGACCUUCCAUAACUGCUGAGUUAGGUCUGCGGUGAACUGGGUCCAUCGGUCAGAUAGGAUUUCCUGAGGAAAUCCCACUCUGGUGAAUAUCCCGACUAGAGCACUGGCGACAGUGUCAGCCUGGAUAUUCGUCAGAGCGACGGCCUCUGGGUAGCGAGUAGCAUAGUCCACUACUGUAAGAAUAUACUUCUUACCCGAGGGGCUAGGGUUAGGUAGGGAUCCCACUAGGUCGACUGCCACCCGGCUAAACGGUUCCUCGAUCACGGGCAUGGGUGACAGUCGAGCUUUAGGGUGAUCCCCUCUCUUCCCUACUCUUUGGUAUGUUUCGCAGGUACUGCAGAAACGCUGCACGUCCUUCGAGAUCCCAGGCCAGAAAAAGGUCUGUGUGAUCCUGUAGGCGGUGCGGUUACCCCCUAAGUGCCCUGCCAACGGAAUGUCGUGUCCAAUUCGGAGAAGUUCCUUUCUAGUUUCCCUCCCAAACUCCUCUGGGGUGUCCCAAGCCAUGGGUCUUUCUACUGUGUUAGGGCUGAGUGUCUGCUCGUGGCUUACCUGGGUCUCCCGGCCUGCUGGAGGAUCUUCCUCGAUACGGGUCUGUGAGCGGGUGGUCACGGGACAAGCAGCAGCAGUCGUGGGUUAAUAAGCUGAAGCUAGAGGGCCAAUGUCGUUGCCCAACACGACUUCAGCAGGUAAAUUGUCCAUGAUUCCUACUGUGGUCUUUCCCGACCCGACUCCCCAAUCCAAGUGUACCCGGGCGGUGGGUAAGCAAAAAACAGCUCCCCCUGCGACCCGGACAGCAACAGUACGGUUAGAUACAUGCUCCGGUUUCACGAGAUGUUUCUGCACCAAAGUGAUGGUAGCGCCAGUGUCCCUUAGGCCUUGUGCUACCUGUCCAUUUACACGCACCUCCUGGCGGUGAUGCUGGCAGUUAUCUGGGGAUGCAGCUUGUAUGGGGUUUGCCUCGUACAGGAUGCCCAAACACUCCUCAGGGCUCCCUUCGGUUUCCAGGCAGUGAGCAGGAGAGGUGCGUGAUGGUGGGGUCUCGGUGUUAGUGGUCGAGCGCCUCCAGUUGUUAUUGGCUGAUCCCAAGGGGCAAUAACGGGCAAUAUGCUCCGUGUUGCCGCAGCGAUGGCACGUAAUUUUGUAAGACUCCCGGGGUUGGUUGUUAGACCCCUAAGGACGCGGAGGCCCUGCGGGUACUGGGGCGCGAAAUUCUGUGCAUGCAGCAGGCGUUGGGGUGCGUGGCUCUGCUUUAGGUGUUGGUCGUGUGGUCCCCUGGCUCACCUUUCUUGUCUCUGCGUAUUCGUCCGCUAGCCGCGCUGCCUCGAUUAAGUUAGCAGGGCGGCGAUCUCUCACCCAGUCCUGUAUGUCCGCAGCCAGAUCUUGGAAGAAAUGUUCCAUUAAGAAUAGCUGUAGUACGUCCUCUCCGGUGUUGGCAUUGCCCCCUCGUACUCAAUGUGAUGCCACCCUUUGUAUCUUGUUUGCCCAUUCCAUGUGGGAGUCUGCAGCCUUCUUUUUAGACUCCCGGAAGCGACGGCGAUACGUUUCUGGGGUGACGGUGUAGUAGAUUAUUUUCUGCAAACCAAUAAGUUUGAAUGACUAUCUGUUCCUGUCCAAAUUAAAGAUAAUAAAGUUGCGUGCACGCAGAAGUAAAUUCACACUGAGACACAGGGUUCAGGUUAAUGAAAGAACUUCGGAGAAGUUUAAUGGCUUCUAACAGAAAAUGGGUGCGCAGACCCUUUUAAAGGCAUUAUCACAUCACUGAAGAAUUCAAGAUAACAGCAAAUAAACAUUAAUAAUUGGUCCAGGUGUUAAGUGGUUAGUUAGAUGCCCUCCCAUCAAGAGGUGAUGUCAUCCUUGACACGGGAGUGGACACAAGCACGAGGUGUCCACUCGAUGGGAGGGGUGCUUUGGCAGCAAUUUUGAGUAGUUGGCAUUAUUAGUUUCAAGCUUAGUUUUCAAGGUUUUUUAGUAGAUACACAUUUUAUUAUUCAGCUGACAUAUACUUUAUUGAGAUCAACAUGUCGCUCAGCGGCCACAAUGUUUCAUUCUUGAUGAACACAUUGUUCCGCUGACGCACAUUUCUUCCUGACAAAGCAUUCUCUUAUAAAUUCUAUAAUUCUACAACAACAGCAUAUCUGGUGAUCAGUGCAGCCAUCACCCAUCGAUACUGUGCAAUAUCUUCCUCAGUAAGCGCCCGAAAAGUCUCAUUUGCUUUUCCGGAUAGCCAUUGGUCUGGUGGUAUCUGGUGUAGUGAGCACUGCCUCUCAAAGUCAGCCAAAUAUCCGUCAAUCUCUUCCUCACUUUCCACAAACGCAGUGAAUGGUAUUUUCUGCCCUGUAGCAGUGGGUGGGGGAGUAUGAACUGUAUGUGCAAUGGGCUGUCUAGCUCUUGCCAGUUCAAGUUCGUGUCCCCUCCUGUUUUGUAUCUCCGGUCUUGCUUCCCGGAACAGCUGAUCUAUUAGUUCCACGGAUGUUGCUGGGUACAUGGAUAAUCUCCGCUGCACAAGAUUUGUAAUUUCCUCCUCCUCGCUGACAGGGGUAGGUUGGUUCGCGACCUCCAUGGAUCGAUCCAUCUCGUCCAGCUCCAGUAGGUCAGCUAUCAGCUCUCUCCGUGGUCGGUUGCUGGCACUCCUUCCUCUGGUUUCCAAUAGAUCCUUUAGUGUAGGUCUUUUCAGUUUAGCGUACUGGGAUUCCAUUCAGCACUUGCUUUGGGGAUGAAAAGGACCAUCCCGCCGCUGCCACCAAUGUAACGGCUACCCAGCUGGAGAGGGAUAUCUGCCGUUGGAGACGUCCUUUUCUAGGCAAGCUGCUGUGAAGUAAUGGAGUUCUUAUUCCCAUCCACGAUAUCCAAGUGUAUAAUCCGGCAGUGCUGUAAAAUGAGGCAGAGUAACGGUACCAUAAAUCCCCUCCAAGAACGAGACGAGGCUAUGUUUUGAAGGGUCAAGUAGAACUGAUGUUUAUUGACAGGGGUCUCCUUUUAUGCAAUGGUGCCCUCUGAAAGGCUACACCCACAUAAUUAACACAACAGCCAAUUAGAUACAUGGUUCAACCCCCACGUCUCCUCCCCUCAGAUAACAUAUAACAUAAUUAAAACAGACACAAUUUUAACCAAAUUCUGGAUGUACCCCAAAAACAGGGGGUACACCUUUAAGUCCAGCAAAGGCUUGAUAGCUCUCACUCAGGGGAACAACAUGUCCAAAUUUCAGCCCAUUCGGUUGAGGGGUUCGGGAGUUAUGGAUCUUUGAAGUUUUGACCGACCGCACAGGUUUUCUAGCCGAAAAGAGUUCCAUAAGUUUUGGCCUUGCGGUCGGUCUCCGUUCGUGCAUUAAAACCCCACGAACCCCUUGCCAUCCACAGUCAUCCUGGU